rnacentral:lncRNA from 1 species
UGUUAAACCCACGAUAUAAACCAGCAACACCAUCAGACUGCAAUGUCUUCCUGUAGACAUCAACCAGUCCAUUGAAUUGCCUUUCUCCACCCUUCUUGGCAGCUUUGGCAUCAUUUGCCAAUCGGGUACGCGCAUAGUCAAGAGAGUAAACAAAAAGAAGGGAUGAAGCACCGGCUGCACCUCCGGAUGCAAGGUUACCAGCAAACCAUUUCCAGUAACCAUCCCUGUCUUUCUUGAAGUUGAAAAGUCUCUUGAAGUAAUCCUUAAAAGCAAAGUUCAAUGCCUGGAGCAUGUAACCAUAAAACAAUUAGCUCAAGAAAGUUUAAAAAAAUGGAGAGAUAAAAUUAUACAACAGAAGAAAACCACACACUUGAGUGGGGAAAUAACGGAUGACAUUGGCAGUGUUUCCUCUCCACAAUGAACCGAAACCCUCCUCUUGCAUUGUGCGCUUAAAACAAUCACCAAUACCCUUGUAUGGCUCAGACAAACGUCCAGAUUUAAUCAUCUCAUCUUGAUUUUGAAUUAAGAGUUUGACACGCUCAAUCGGGGCAGCAGCUGUUUUGGACACAGCAGCAGACACACCACCCAUAAGAAAGUCAAGCAUAAAGUUUCCUUUCUCAGCAGGGGCAGCAACAAAAAUGGGGGAAGCGGUUGAGGAAACCCUAGAAAGGUCAGUUGUAGCUACACAGGAUUGCACAGCAGGAUAUUGAAAAGCAGCAUUGGAAUAAUUGGUAAUCGGUGCACGUCUCUGAUAGAGUGCAGGAUUUCUAAAGCCAUCAUCACAAGCCCGGAAACCCGAAGCAACCCUCGACUGAAGGGAGAGCUGACCAGCAACCUUCUGAUAGAUAGUGGGAUGUUGAACCUGAUCAGCCAUGGCUACUUCUUCCCUGCAAUAAUUCCCAAUGAUUUCAUCAGAUGAGAAAUACUCGUUUCAAAUUUAGAACAAGAGAUGACAUUGAGACACCAAUACGACAGUAGUGGGCCAGAAGUACAGUUUAGGUAAGGCAGAUAGCUAUUCAAGGAAAAUGAGAUCAAUAAAGAAUCGAAGAACAAAGUUAAUAUUUUAUAAGCAUCGUUCAAUGUAGCAAAUCAAGUACUAUAAGUCUUCGUUGAAAACAGAGCUGUAAUAACAAAUGCCAAGGGUUGAAAAGUAGCAACAUGGUCAAGAGUAAAGAUCAUUUACUAAAACAUAUAAACCUUAAUUCUGUUUUAUGAAAUAUCUAAUCGCAAUAACAAUAACAUAAGAAAAAAAAACGUACACAAACACACCAAUUUAAGGGUCGGCUCCAAACACUUAAAAGUAAAGAGUAAAUGCAUCCGUAAGAGCGCAGAUUCAUAACAAAAAAUUCGCUGAUCCACAGUAAAACAAUAGGAGACAACCAGUACGAUAAGAGGUCUCAUCAGUCAUCGCUAAGAGGCCACACAGUCAGUACAUGAUGAUAAUAUGCGAGUUUUAUAAAAAUACAACAAAUGAGAUUAGAUCGGAAAAAAUGGGAACACAACAAACCCAAACAGAAACUAGAAAAUUCACAUCAAAGAUUCCGUUCAGAAACUUCAACAGCAGAACUUCGGAAAUAGUUAAGGUGAACAGUAAACACUAUAAGAGAUAUAUUUAGGAAGAACAGAUCUCAAUCUAGAAGUAAAUAUGAGAAAACCAACAGACAAAUCCGACAAUCUGAAGUCUGUGCGAUCAGAAAUUUAAGAAAUAGCCAAGGAUCAGACCCCAGAAGUUUAAAAAAUAAAAAAUAAAAAAGGAAGCAGAAUAAAGACGAAUAAGGAUCGUUUUUACCAAAGACGAACCGAGAAGAAAGUGAAAGUAUGAAGAACUGCCGGAUCUGAAGGUGAAAUUGAAAGUGAUCGGUAGAAGAAUUGUGGAUCUAAAAGAGAGAAAGAGGAGUAUACCUUAGGAGAAAACUGAUGGCCGCGAGGGAAACUGGGAGGAGUCUGCCGCGGCUACAAUGUCGCGUAGGACGAAUGCGAAAACUUCAGGAGAAGAGAGGGUUUCCCGCUGCACCAUGGGUCAGUAUUAAGGGUUUAAAAUGGGCCCUUAUUGGGCCUUUAUUACCAAAGCCUUUACCAUAAGAUUUUAUGUUCUCCUUUAUUUUUAAAAAAUCAUAUUUAAAAUAAUUACAAAUAUAAACCAAUAUUAAUGUUACAAAUCUAUUAUUAAUAAACAAAUAUUCACUCAUACAUAAAUUCUACCAAAAUAUAAAUCUAUCACUAAUACAUGCAAAACAUAAUAAAAAUAAAAAAUUUAGUGUGUUAUUACUCAAUAACUUCUUGAACAUGUUUUUAUUUUUCAAGGUUAGAUGGAAGGUUUAAACUUGAAUUUUAAUUCUUCACAUGUCACUUGGACAUAGCACUAGAAAUAAACUAAAAAUUAUUGACAUAGAUAUUGAUUUUAUUCAUUAAUUAGUGUUGACACAUUAUUGUGUUUACGUGUCUGAUUUUAUUGAUAAAGUAUUAUUAAUAAAAAAUGGUACAAACUUUCAUUAACGACUUAGUAUAAAGUUGAGAAAAUUGAAAAAUGGAAGGCCAAAUUGAUAAUUAACUACAAAAUUAAGGUUUAUAUUAUAUACUUUAAAUAAUAACAACAAUAACAAAGUUGAAUAAAAUCGUGCUCACUUCUGCACGCCUUUUUUCUUUUUUUAUUUUUUAUAUAUUGGUCAUAGAUUAAACGAAAAGGCAUUUCUAUAACUAGCCAUAUGUUAAAUUACAAUAUUAACAACUAGUGUCAUAAUCCAUAAUUUAAUCAAUAUAUAGUAUGUGUUUUCAUUAUACAUAAAAAGGCAUUAUCAGUUAAACUAUAAAAUAUGUUAAGUUACAAUAUCAAUCUCUAAUUUUGUGUUAAGUUACAAUAUCAAUCUCUAAUUUUGGUUAUUGGUAUAAUAAAUUACCAUUGAGAUCUCUAAAAUUUUGAAACAUUUAAUAUGUUUAUGAGCUUUUAAUUUCAUAACAGUAAUGUAUUUUUUUUCUAAUUACACCAAAUACGUAUGACUCGUUAGACACCAGUUUUAAACUUUUUUUUUCUUUUUACUUUUUGCUUUUCUGUAUAGACAUUCACUUUGGACAAUAUCCAUCCCUUUAGUUUCGCCCUCUCUCCCAUCAUCACUGCUCUUCCAUUACACAAACAAACAAACAUGAAAGCGAAAUUACAUAUCCAUCUUUAUUUUGAAAUUUGGGCAUCACAUUCCUCGGAGUAGGUGCAAGACGGACUCAACCCAACUCUAACAGAUGCUGGAAUUCCUUCGGCCCUUCAUCGAUUUUCCUCGCAAAAAAGUUGUCUUCAUUUGCAUUAGAGAGGCCUCCAGCUUAGACCGUGUACAAUUCUCACUCCAUCCUCAUCCAAUCCUUCUUAACUGCCACUUUGUUCCAAUAUUUUCCCAUUAUGUUUGGGUAUUGUUUUGUAAUUGAAUGUUAAGCAAUAUGAUUCAUGAUUUAGGGGAAAAUAUACAUUUUUGUCUCUCGCUUUAGAUUGAAAUACAUAUAUGAUUUAGUUAUGAUUUUUGGAAGAAAAAUAGGACACGGCAGAGAGUUUUAUUCAAUGUGACAUAAAAGGGUUCUCAUGGGCCGCUGAUGAACUAUAAAGCAUAUGUUUGGUAUGAAAGUCAGAAUUUAGGCGAGAAUUUGAGGGGUUUGGCCACUUAUUUGAUGUGUUCAUUGUAGAGCUUGAAUGGUCUAUUUUGUGCAAAUUUGACUUUUAUUCAAGUGGUGGCCGGUGGGUUGUUGAAGUUCUUAUAUAUUAUUUCUUUUGAAGUUCCAACUAAGUGGGCGAAUUAGAAAAUUCUGAAUAAAAUAUAAAUAUUAGUACACUUGAACUAUUCAUGUUGCCAAAUUUAGUGGUGAGAAUGGAUUAGUUGAUUCGAACAUUUAUUUACAUACAUAAUAAUGUUACUUACCAGAUUUAUACAUCUUUUUCGACGUGUUUGAGGAUUGUGAAAAUGGAAUAGAGCUAGAGAAUAACAAGGCAAACACAAUACUUGUUUGAAUGAAAAAAAUCAAUCAUUUGUGCAUCUAAAUCAUAUAUCUUUGCAUUCAUUUGCUAACAAUUGUUACGUAAAAUGCUAAUUCUUGAUCUCCUCAUGCGUACUGAAAGCUGAAUAAACUUUGUUGUAUGGCUAUUCUAAGAACUAAAAAAACAGAGUUAAAAGAUUUAAAGGUAGAUUGGUUUGAUUUUGGAAUUUCUAGAUCGUAAAACAUUCCGUCUACUACAAGCCCCCAGAUGAACAUCCUCAGUUGUAAAGUAAGUGAAAGUUUCACUUAAAUAAACAGAAUACAAUUAAAUCAAAAUAUCUGAGAAAUUAUUUUGAGAUUCUAAUGGGUGAUCCCAAUGUGAAACACUUCUAAAAGCUCUGCAUCUCAGUCGAAAACUAAAGUAUAGCCUUUUAAUAACUGAAAAGUUUGGGAAUUACUCCCUUCAAAACUAAAUUAUUGAAGGAAAAAAAAUGGCCGGAACAAAGUCCAAAACUCUGGAGACAUUUUCAUCAACAUCUGAAAAAUGAAUAAACCUUUAAGGUGAGGUUAACUACCUCAGCUUAUGCGCCACCAGAUCCGUAUUUCUUCCCGAAGACGAUCACCUGCAACUUAUCGUAACCGGCAAGCACACCAGCACCAGCAACGGCACGGAGAAUGUUAGCACCAGCACCCUUGAAGAGAGACUUGGCACCUUCGUUCUUCAAGAUCUGAGAGAAGGCAUCCAUUGAGCUCUUGUACUUCACUGCUUCACCAGACGUCAUCAUCAUUCUUCUACGAACAGUGUCAAUUGGGUAGGAUGCGAGACCGGCACCAUUGGUGAUGAGCCAACCAAGGGCAAAGCUAGCGAAGAAACUAUCCUGCACUCACAAAAAAAGUAGAAUAUAAUCAGAACAUAGCAAUUCAAACAUUGGCAUCCACUGAUGAACCCAAUUUAUAUAAUCCCCACAGCAAACAACUAACACCACUAGCAAACUGACCUGCAUCUUCCCGGUCAACAAAACAGGCUUUAGAGAAUCGUACAUUCCGAAGUAUAAACCUCGGUACACGAUGAUACCAACGCAAGAAAUGUUAAACCCACGAUAUAGACCAGCAACACCAUCAGACUGCAAUGUCUUCCUGUAGACAUCAACCAGUCCAUUGAAUUGCCUUUCUCCACCCUUCUUGGCAGCUUUGGCAUCAUUUGCCAAUCGGGUACGAGCAUAGUCAAGAGAGUAAACAAAAAGAAGAGAUGAAGCACCAGCUGCACCACCGGAUGCCAGGUUACCGGCAAACCAUUUCCAGUAACCAUCCCUGUCUUUCUUGAAGUUGAAAAGUCUCUUGAAGUAAUCCUUAAAAGCAAAGUUCAA